UGGGGAAUUUUACCGCAAUGGGCGAAAGGCCUGACGGAGCAAUGCCGCGUGGAGGUGGAAGGCCUACGGGUCGUCAACUUCUUUUCUCGGAGAAGAAACAAUGACGGUAUCUGAGGAAUAAGCAUCGGCUAACUCUGUGCCAG
rnacentral:rRNA from 1 species